rnacentral:rRNA from 1 species
AUGUUCCAGAAGCCUGACAUGCGGAGGCCCAUGUUCGUGACUAAGGCCAUGCAGAAGGUGAUCAUCAAGGUGGACGAGGCAGGGACCGAGGCCGCUUCGAUCAUGCGCGGGUUUUGUGGUGGUGGUCUGCCGCCGGACAUGGUUCCGUUUGUUGCCGACCACCCGUUCAGUUUCCUCAUCAUGGAGGAGCGGUCUGGAGUGAUCGUUUUCGCCGGCCAUGUCCUUGACCCUACCAAGUAA